rnacentral:tRNA from 1 species
UGAAAUGUAACUUAGUGGUACAGUGCUUGCCUAGUAUGCAUGAAGCCCUGAGUUCAAUUCCUGAGUAUUACAG